UCUGAAUCUGCGAACGGCUCCGCAAACCAGUUGUAAACUAUAGCAAGCAAGCUAGGGAGUGGCCUUCACGGGCUGAGCCUGGGCGAUAAGGAUAACCCUGGUAAUUCUGAGGCUAAUACGUGAAUGUACAACUCGGUAGACCGGGCUUCGGCCUGGGAAGCUGGGGGACGUGCGUGUAAUGGCUUGGGUUUUGCCGGGAAAGGACGCACUUCCGGACCGCGUUAAAAAGGACUCGCUUGCUCCCUCGGGAGCGGGCUUGCCCCAGCGGCUCUUGCUGUGUGCUUCUGACCUAUCAACUAGACGGCAGCGUAAGGGACAUGCUAUGGU
rnacentral:rRNA from 1 species